GGCAGGAUGGCAGAAAGGUUAAUGCAAUCUGUUGAUACCAGGUGCCUUUCGAGGUUUGUGGGUUCGAUUCCCGCUCCUGCCG
rnacentral:tRNA from 1 species